AGUGCAUAAGACUCCAGUUGAGUCAUUCUUGUUAAAAGUAUGUUCCGGUUUGACCGAUUCCUCAUUAACUUUAUUUAAUGGCAUGUUUUAGGAGCCCUAAGGUCUGCAGGAUUUUGAAAUCUACUUCACCCUGAACAGGAGUGUGACAAGAAGGGUUUUAGAAGUCUCUGUGGAUAUCUUUACCAAAGAAGCAUGGUUGCAGAUCGCUGUAGUACGGCAAGCACACAUGCAAGCAGUCCAACUCUGAAAUGAUCAGAUGCAAUUCCCUGUUUAAAGCUCCAUGAAAACUAAGCCAAGGACAAGUGAAGGGCAUCUGACGCCAUCUACCUGGACCUGAAGAAGGCAUUUGACUGAUUAAAAGAAUAGAGGGGACCAAAACAGCUUUUUGUGAGCUGCAUGCAUGUUUUCAUACAGGAAACUCAGGACAAGAAAAGAGGAAAUAAUCAUUUUCUUCCCAUCCAGUCCAAGUCUGAACAAUGCUGUACUUUCUCUUCUAUGAAAAAAAGGAGUUGUUCUGAGAAAAUGGGAGUGAAGAUCAUUUCACAGUUGUGAUCCUUAAUGGUUUUCAACGCCAUAUACAGAGGUAGAGGAAUAAGAGUAAGGAGUUCUCCUACUACUCAGAAACCUUUCUGCCUUGUCCUCAAAACUGGUCCUCGUACUGUUCCAUCUGACUCCUGAUGCUACUGAUACUAGCUGAGCAUUUGGGCAUCAUUUACUACUGGACUUCAAGAAAGUAUUCUCUUAAGGACAUGGGAGGUGUCAGCAGUGAAGUGAAAGGAUAAAGGAAAAGGUUCUCCACGUAACUGUAACUAUGUAUGACGUGGAAAACUGCAUAGUGAUGCCCACAGAGGGAGACUUGAUAACUCACCACCACCAUCAUCGCACCCCUUGCAUCUUCGCUUCUCAGAAUUCUUGUCUCUGUUGGCAGCAAUGGGUAAGUUCAGUGAGGUCUUGCAGUGAGGGUAU